UCAGAGGGAAAUGGGAUUGCAGCAGGGGGAGAUGGAAUGCAGGAGUGGGAAAUGGGAUUUGCAGCAGAGGGAGAUGGAAUGCAGCAGUGGGAAAUGGGAAUGCUGGAAUGGUAAAUGGAAAUGCAGCAGAGGGAAAUGGGAUUGCAGCAGAGGGAAAUGGGAUUGCAGCAAGGGGAGAUGGAAUGCAGGAGUGGGAAAUGGGAAUGCAGGAGAGGGAAAUGGGAAUGCAGCAGAGGGAAAUGGGAAUGCAGCAGAGGGAAAUGGGAUUGCAGCAGAGGGAGGCGGAAUUCAGGAGUGGGAAAUAGGAAUGCAGCAAAGGGAGAUGGAAUGCAGGAGUGGGAAAUGGGAAUGCAGGGGUGGGAAAUGGGAAUGCAGCUGAGGGAGAUGGAAUGCAGGAGUGGGAAAUGGAAACGUAGGAGUGGGAGAUGGAAUACAGGAGUAGACAAUGGGAAUCCAGCAGAGGGAGAUGGAAUGCAGCAAAGGGAGAUGGAAUGCAGGAAUGGGAAUGCAGCAGAGGGAAAUGGGAAUGCAGCAGAGGGAAAUGAGAAUGCAGCAGACCGAGACGGAAUGCAGCAGUGGGAUAUGGAUUGCAGCAGAGGGAGAUGGAAUUCAGGAGUAGGAAAUGGGAAUGCAGGAGUGGGGAAUGGAAAUGCAGCAGAGGGAGAUGGAAUGCAGGAGUGGGGAAUGGAAAAGCAGCAGAGGGAGAUGGAAUGCAGCAGAGGGAAAUGGGAAUGCUGGAAUGGUAAAUGGGAUUGCAGCAGAGGGAAAUGGGAUUGCAGCAGGGGGAGAUGGAAUGCAGGAGUGGGAAAUGGGAAUGCAGGAGUGGGAAAUGGGAAUGCAGCAGAGGGAAAUGGGAUUGCAGCAGGGGGAGAUGGAAUGCAGGAGUGGGAAAUGGGAAUGCAGGAGUGGGAAAUGGGAAUGCAGCAGAGGGAGAUGGAAUGCAGGAGUGGGAAAUGGAAACGUAUGAGUGGGAGAUGGAACACAGGAGUAGAAAGUGGGAAGCCAGCAGAGUGGCUAAAGGAGUUCAUGUAGAUUAAAGGAGAACCUGGGUCCAGGCUUUGCAGGCGGAGAAGCUGGUACCAAGAGAUGCCUGUGAUCUAACCAGAAGCAUCAGCACAUUGACACAGCCUCCAGGCCCAUGGUGCAGCCCCCUCUGCUUUUUGAGCUGACAUUCUUAGGAUGAGAAGUUGGAGAGGAGAGCUGGGAGGGCCUCCUUGAAGGCAGGCCUAGGGGACAGCUUGCCCUAACCUGGAAAGCAUUCCCUUGAGGUCAUGGUGUCUGUCUGAUCCUGCCAAUUUGGAGAAUCCUAUCAUCUUCCUUCCUAGGGAUUCUCAUGCCAGGGUGAUGAAGUUAAGCCUGACGUAGGUUAAGUAAGAAAACUAAGUAGGAAGACAAAGGUUUGAAUUAAAAAUAGAGACCUGACCCAUGUCUGACAUUCACCUCCAUGUGGAAAAGGAGAGGAAGAUUUGGCAUUCUAUGUUUUUGUUUUGUUUUGUGUUGCUACUGGGAUGGGUGACUUAAUCAUAGGGAAGGAGCGAUGUCUACAUCUAUAUUUGGUUUCAUUGUACCCUCCUUUCUGCCAAUCCUCACAAAAUCAUAUAGCGAAGCAUUCAAUCCUUUUUCCAAACUCUCUUGAGAAGGCCUCUCUCCCCAAGUGAGUUGUUGCCUUUGCCUUUCUCCUCAAUUGCUUUGCAAUUUCUCCUAUGAAUCCCAUUUCCCUGAUGUUCCCCCUUGAAGGCAAAAGCCACUAUGGCUCAGGUCCCACUGCAGGACACAAGAUCAGUGAUGCUGGGUGAAUCUGGGGGCUUCAUCUUCUGAUAAUAAGGGUCCAAGUGCUUGGGAUUCAAUAUGGCAUGAGAGCUUCCCAAUGACCAAGUCUGGUUUGUAGGAGGGUGACAUGAAUUCCUCUAGUGGCUAUGUGGCAGCCUUAGAGACUCCCUCCCUCAUUUUUAAUUUUCUGAUUAAAUAGAAAUGGCAGUGACUUGUGGCGUGAUGUGGGAGAGACAGGAUGGCCACCUUACAGACAUUACAGGAUGAUGUAGAGAUAAUUUAGAGCCUGAAAUACCAGGAGACAAUGACUUCGCCAAGAAUCUGGUACAUUUUCCGGUUCCUAGGAAAAAAUCUGUACUUGUUGAUUUCACAGGGAAACUGGGGAGGGACACAGUGCAAGCAGAGGGGGGAUAUCAAGUUGUAGAGCAGCAGAAACGUGACUACAUUCAGCUGUCACUUUGGUAUUUCUUCAGGUAUGUCUGUGCAAUAAGAUGUCAGCACCAUGACACUGUUGUGGUGAGGUAAGGAGAGCCAGGGCAAGUUUUGUGGGUUCAUGCAAUCCAUUUCUUGCUGGCAAAUGUUUGGAAAGGAUCUGCCAAGUUGUUUUCUCCAUGUGAAGGUUUUAUAAUAGUGACUAGAUCAAAGUUAUGAGGAAGGGUAUGCAUCUGUCUGUAUAUUUGCUUCCAUUUUAUCUUAGC
rnacentral:lncRNA from 1 species